CAGUAGCCACGGUAAUACGGAGGGGGCUAGCGUUGUUCGGAAUUACUGGGCGUAAAGCGCACGUAGGCGGCUUGGUAAGUUAGAGGUGAAAGCCUGGAGCUCAACUCCAGAAUUGCCUUUAAGACUGCCGAGCUAGCAGGUGAGAGAGGUAAGUGGAAUUCCGAGUGUAGAGGUGAAAUUCGUAGAUAUUCGGAAGAACACCAGUGGCGAAGGCGGCUUACUGGCUCAUACUGGACGCUGAGGUGCGAAAGCGUGGGGAGCAAACAGGAUUAGAUACCCGAGUAGUCCCUGUCUCUUAUAC
rnacentral:rRNA from 1 species